rnacentral:rRNA from 1 species
CAUGAAGCUGGAAUCGCUAGUAAUCGCGGAUCAGAAUGCCGCGGUGAAUACGUUCCCGGGCCUUGUACACACCGCCCGUCACACCAUGAGAGUUGGCAAUACCCAACGUACGUGAUCUAACCCGCAAGGGAGGAAGCGUCCUAAGGUAGGGUCAGCGAUUGGGGGUGAAGUCGUAACAAGGUAAC